rnacentral:lncRNA from 1 species
AUAGAAAGGAAGAGACUGUCCGCGGAGUAGACGAGUGCGCCUCCCUCACCUCCCUCCUCCAUGUGCGAACACAGCAAGAAGGCCGCCAUCUGCAAACCAGGAAGAGGUCCAUCACUGAGGGGCCAAAGUGGCACCUUGAGCUUGGACUUCCCAGGCUUCAAGAACUGUGAAAAAUAAAUCCCUGUUGUUGAAGCCCCCCAGCCUAUGUUAUUUUGUUGCAGCAGCCGGAGCUGACUGACACAGCCGCAUGAUCACCGGCAAGUUCCUCCAUCGCUUGGGACUCUCUUUUCUUCUCUGUCAAAUGUGAAUAUUAAAA